GUUGAACGCUGGCGGCAUGCUUUACACAUGCAAGUCGAACGGUAACAGGUUAAGCUGACGAGUGGCGAACGGGGGAGUAAUGCAUCGGAACGUGCCCGAUCGUGGGGGAUAACGCAGCGAAAGCUGCGCUAAUACCGCAUACGAUCUGAGGAUGAAAGCGGGGGACCGUAAGGCCUCGCGCGAUCGGAGCGGCCGACGGCAGAUUAGGUAGUUGGUGGGGUAAAGGCCCACCAAGCCGACGAUCUGUAGCUGGUCUGAGAGGACGACCAGCCACACUGGGACUGAGACACGGCCCAGACUCCUACGGGAGGCAGCAGUGGGGAAUUUUGGACAAUGGGCGAAAGCCUGAUCCAGCAAUGCCGCGUGCAGGAAGAAGGCCUUCGGGUUGUAAACUGCUUUUGUACGGAGCGAAAAGGUCCUUUCUAAUACAAGGGGCUCAUGACGGUACCGUAAGAAUAAGCACCGGCUAACUACGUGCCAGCAGCAGCCGCGGUAA
rnacentral:rRNA from 1 species